GAUGAAGACGCAGUGAAAUGCGAUAAGUAAUGUGAAUUGCAGAAUUCAGUGAAUCAUCGAAUCUUUGAACGCACCUUGCACCCUUUGGCAUUCUGAAGGGUAUGCUCGUUUGAGUGUCAUUGUACUCUCACACUCCCGAUCUUUGCAUUGGGAGCAGUGGACUUGGGUUUGCUGCUUCACCGUCGCUUACCUCAAAUAGGUUAGUGCAACUCUUGGUUGGACAUAGUACGGCGUGAUAAGUGUUCUUCGCCGGUGCCUCGCAAAGAGGGUGGCCGAUCGGGAUGUUGUGCUCCAAACCGUCUUCGGACAAUCUCUGACGACUUGACCUCAAAUCGAGUAAGACUACCCGCUGAACUUAAGCAUAUCAAUAAGCGGAGGA
rnacentral:misc_RNA from 1 species